CCUACGGGAGGCAGCAGUGAGGAAUAUUGGUCAAUGGACGCAAGUCUGAACCAGCCAUGCCGCGUGCAGGAAGACGGCUCUAUGAGUUGUAAACUGCUUUUGUACGAGGGUAAACGCAGAUACGCGUAUCAGUCUGAAAGUAUCGUACGAAUAAGGAUCGGCGAACGCCGUGCCAGCAGCCGCGGUAAGACGGAGGAUUCAAGCGUUAUCCGGAUUUGUUGGGGUUAAAGGGUGCGUAGGCGGUCGGAGAAGUUAGAGGUGAAAUCCCGAGGCUCAACUUCGGAAUUGCCUCUGAUACUGUUCGGCUAGAGAGUAGUUGCGGUAGGCGGAAUGUAUGGUGUAGCGGUGAAAUGCUUAGAGAUCAUACAGAACACCGAUUGCGAAGGCAGCUUACCAAGCUACUUCUGACGUUGAGGCACGAAAGCGUGGGGAGCAAACAGGAUUAGAUACCCCAGUAGUC
rnacentral:rRNA from 1 species